rnacentral:rRNA from 1 species
CCUACGGGAGGCAGCAGUGAGGAAUAUUGGUCAAUGGGCUUACGCCUGAACCAGCCAAGUCGCGUGAGGGAAGACUGCCCUAUGGGUUGUAAACCUCUUUUGUCAGGGAGCAAUGGGCGCUACGUGUAGCGUUAUCGAGAGUACCUGAAGAAAAAGCAUCGGUUAACUCCGUCCCAGCAGCCGCGGUAAUACGGAGGAUGCGAGCGUUAUCCGGAUUUAUUGGGUUUAAGGGGUGCGUAGGCGGAAUGCCAAGUCAGCGGUAAAAUCGCGGGGCUCAACCUCGCUCCGCCGUUGAAACUGGCGUUCUUGAGUGGGCGAGAAGUAUGCGGAAUGCGUGGUGUAGCGGUGAAAUGCAUAGAUAUCACGCAGAACUCCGAUUGCGAAGGCAGCAUACCGGCGCCCAACUGACGCUGAAGCACGAAAGCGUGGGUAUCGAACAGGAUUAGAUACCCCUGUAGUC